AAUAGUGAGGCCAAAUUCCUAAGAUGAUCGUUGAUAUAUCCAGGGAGACUCGAAUGGUAUGAAGUUAGAAAAGAAGAGGGUGACUACUCUCUCUUGUCCUCCUCACCUUCCCCAAGAAACACAUGGUGAUCUGCUGAACUUGAUAGCUUCCUUUCCUUUCUUUCUAGCUUGCUGGCCAAGUCAAUGCCGGCCACCUUAACUCCGCUUCCACUAGUGAGCGAGAUACCCUCCUCAUCAAAGUCAUCCACAGUCUCCUCGGAUUCUACAGGUUGCCAUACAAGCGAAAGGCCAACUGAAGCAAAUUCAGAAACUUGGUGCAUGCAAUAAAAGGUGGCAGGGAUUUAGAGUACAUACCCGGUUGGGUUGUGAGAUGGAGCCCAGAGAACACAUAUAACUACCAACAGAAAGUAUGCAAGCAAAACCCAGAAAGCUGGGAUGAUCCAGGCUCUUCGCCACAAUUCACUCAACGGGUCACUCGCAUUAAAAUACAACUGAACAGAGAAAAAUCAGAAGCUUAGUAUCUCAGACAUCCAUAAGUUGUACAACUCUGAGUCUCAGUAACAGGAACAUACAGAACGUUUGUGAUCUAAUGAUUUAAAAGGUACUAUGCGGACAGCAAUAUCCCAAGGGUAAAGUGCUUAUAGACUUUGCUUAACAAAAAGAUAAUGAAGAGAUUUGGGCAUCCUUGCUGAACAGGAACUACUUGAGGAUUGCUGAACAGGAACUACUUGAGGAUUAAUGAUCACUGUUAAAAAGCCAGUUGGGUGGAAGAAGAAAGGAACAAUAAAUCAAAGAAAGCGAACCUCAUAACCAAUCCAAGCGACAGACAGCAAUACUGAUACUGCAAGGGAAUUGGUAAACUUCCGGUAGAGCUCAAGUUUGGCCAUGCUUCUUCGAAUCUGUGAAUACAGUGGACAAAGGGACAUAUUCACUUGGUUCAUCAAACUAAACACAAAACGUCGCAUUCAAUAAAUGAAGCUAAUGUAUCAUUCCAUCCAUGAUAUAGGCAAAACAGACAUCUACCAUCCACAGUUAACAUUUAACAUUCUCAAGUUGUCAUAGAAGUAGAUCUUAUUCUAUUCCUAACCACUAACAUACCUUCUAACCAUCACAGUUUUUUUAAGGCGUUCAGGCAGUAAAAUACAGAAUGGAUGCAAAUUUAUUGUA